UUAACGAAAAGGCAAACCUUAUGAAAAUAAGGGACGCAAAGCCAUGGGUCUAAGGGAGAAUCAUCCUAAGACAGCCGGUUAUCGAA
rnacentral:ncRNA from 3 species